AAAUCAAGAGUUGGUUGCUCAACCGACUGAGCCACCCAGGUGCCCCUCCGAGAGAGUUUCUUAACCUACCUUCUAACCCAUCAAUUUCUCAACUGCGUUAGUUCUACUAUUAAUCCUUCUAUUAUGUUCUUUACUUCAGUCACUGUGGUUUUCAUGCCUAGUAUUUCUAGUUGGUCCUUCUUUUUCAAGUUUCUUGUUCUUAUGUGAUAUUGCUAGUCAAUGAUGUCAUCUUGCUUGAUAUGGUUCUUAACCUAUUUUGUCUCAGUCCAUCCCCCCGCCCCCCCAGUCUGUUUCCAAUGGAACCUGUAAUUCCCAUUUGUGGAUUUCUUUUGAAGGAGCUGAGGUCCUCAGAAUUCUCCUUAUUUUGGACUAAGAGCACAUAUUCCCACGGGGCACAGAGUCUUGGGUCCUGUGACACACACGGAGAGAGGCCAGCGUGCCUGCUGGGUGCCAGUCCCCUGAGCUCAGGACCCAGAAGCCGUGGAUGAGCCUCAGGAAUGCAGCUACAGCUCAGCACUGCCCUUCCCCCCGGGAGACUGUUCUGGGCUGCAUUUGGUGCUCAGUCCCCAGGAAGAAGCAGAACCCAGAGGGGGUUGGAGGGGUGGUGGGGCCACGGAGGUGGUCUUUCUGUCCUCCUCGGCUCCUCACCUGCAGAGUUUCCGCACGACCCAUUUAUCCCGAGGACAUCUGCACCAGCUGUCAUAGGUGGGCCGGGGGCGGGCACCCAUUGCCCCAGACAGAAUUCUAACCAUUCACUUCUGCUUUAUUCUCCCACAGCUGAGCCUCCUGCCAUUGGUCACAGCGCUGGCCACACACCACCGGUGGUUCAGAGCGUCCUUUCCCCUCCCAGGUCUUUCUCCUACUUGUCUCCUUAUCUCCAUGUUUCUCUCCAGAUUUCCUUCAAGAUUGAUCUUGCGGGAGGCUGCCUCCUAGAGUCUGAAAAUCGCAGUCCUGGGUUAAGAUUGUCAUCUAGUGGCCAAUGUGAGAAGCACAUGGCUGUGCCCUCCCCUUUCUUCCUUCUAACUCUGUACUGUGCAAAAAUAGAAGGCGAACUUGCUUCUUCCUACCUACCUGAAACAUCUGAAUGGAUCCGACGAGAAUGUUCGCCCUUCAGAACUGCAGGAUGUCACAGUCACCCAUGUCACUACUCACCGUGAGUCACUACUCACGGGUCACCCAUCAGCCAGCGUCUGUACCCACAGCCUGGUGGAUCCUGGGGCGGUUUACAGCCCAGCCGCUGGCAACCUCAGCUGUCAGUCCUCUCUGGAAAUUUCCUCAGCUGAAGAGAACGAUUGAGAAGAAGGCCACGCCUCCUUUCUGGGCAGCCACAGCCCUGAUUGGUCAGGGGGGUGGGCCCCAGGAAGCAGAUGCCAGGAUGGGGUUCUGGAGCUGGACCUAGGGCUGCUGGCUGGCAGCGGGGACUCCCGGCCUGUGUCCCUGGCACAAGGUCUUGGUGCUGCUGUUACCGGAAGGAAUCUUAAGGCUCAGACUGACCCAGCCUUGACAUUCCUGACUCUGGUGAUCUUGCUGGCAUUUGUGUCUAGGACAAUGCAUUACUCUCAGACUAAAGAAGAAUCUAUUACACCAAUUCCAUCGCCUAAAAUAUCAAAGUCACCAUUCUGGGAAACUGGGAAUACGAACGAAAGAGCAGCUAAUCACAAAGGUUUAAGACAGGUUAGGUAAAUGUCAAGGGUCAAGUGUGAGAGAAAAAUAUAAAAGUUCAACAAAAAAUGUUAAGCAGAGACAGACUGAUAGUUGGAGGUAGGAUUUUAAUAUCUGAGGAAUCAUCUGGUAUUGGCCAUCUUUAAAGGUUUAAGAAUCUGAAAAAUUGAUUCUUAAAAAAUAUUUGAAAAUAGUUCAACCUAUUCAUACCCCCUAGGAUAUUGCGUGGAUUGGCUUCUGAUGUUCCUUCCCUCUUUUGACAUCUUCCCCAGAAAGUUCUGACCUGACCAUUCUUACUAUGCUAUCUACACCUCUUGUUGUUCCAACUUGAAAAUCACAUCUGACUCGAUAAUAUCAGAGAACUUCAUAAGGGAACACAGCUCCUACCUGCUUAGACUUCAGAAAUCCCCCAAAUAAAGAAGGUAGAACUUCAGCGUCUCCACUGUCUCUCGGCUUUAACACCUGAAGCUGCAGCCCACAACCACAUGGUGGUAAUUCAGAAGCUCAGAACUUUUGGUAACUGAGCAAGGACAUAAAUGCUAGGCCAACACGGAGCUGCACUAAAAGCUGUGCUUACCCACUGAGAGUAAAUUGCUGUAAUUCUCCAGCAUCACGUCCAUGUAAAGGAUCCGCUGUGAGGGGUCCAGUUGCUCCCAUUCCUCCUGAGUGAAGUCCACAGUCACAUCGGUGAAUGAAACCGAUCCCUGAAAUGGCAUAUUACUCAGAUGGCUAUUCAUUCUGAAAUGAUCGGCAUUUGGCAAUGUAGGAAGGAUAUGUGAAAACUUAUUCUUACCUUGUAAAAUUUACACAGGACGCCAACUGACAUCUUCACUGUUUUCUCAUGUUUCCAAAAAAUAUGUUUAUAAAUAAAACAUUUAUGUAGAUCCCCUA